rnacentral:rRNA from 1 species
GCAUAUCAAUAAGCGGAGGAAAAGAAAAUAACAAUGAUUCCCUUAGUAACGGCGAGUGAAGGGGGAUAAGCUCAAAUUUUAAAUCUACCAGGUUAACCUGGUCGAGUUGUAAUUUGAAGAAGCGUUUUCCGCGUUCGGGUCGGCCCAAAUCCUUUGGGAUAAGGUAUCAUGGAGGGUGAGAAUCCCGUUCGGCUGACCUUAGGAUGCUUUACGAUACGCUCUCAAAGAGUCGAGUUGUUUGGGAUUGCAGCUCAAAAUGGGAGGUAAAUUUCUCCUAAGGCUAAAUACCGGCGAGAGACCGAUAGCGAACAAGUACCGUGAGGGAAAGAUGAAAAGAACUUUGAAAAGAGAGUUAAAUAGUACGUGAAAUUGUUGAAAGGGAAACGAUUGAAGUCAGUCGUACCGGCGGGAAAUCAGCUUCUCGAGUGGGGGUUCGCGGGUGCGUGGAGCUUCGGCCUUCGUCGCUUGUGACACCUUUUGCUUCUGGAGCGUACUUUUCCGUGUGGUAGGUCAACAUCGGUUUCGAUUGCCAUAAAAUGACCGGAGGAAUGUGGCUUCGAUCUUGUAUUGGAGUGUUAUAGCCUCUGGUAGAUGUGGUGGUUGGGAUCGAGGAUUGCAACGAAUACCCUUUGGGCUAUCCGCCUGACCUCUGAAAGUCGCUUGGGUACCGAAAGCUUGCUUACGGUCAUUCAAGUUGGCGGUCAAAAGGUUAGAACGCGAUUAAAUUCGUUAAGGAUGUUGACGUA